rnacentral:rRNA from 1 species
GUGAGGAAUAUUGGACAAUGGGCGCAAGCCUGAUCCAGCCAUGCCGCGUGCAGGAAGACGCAUCUAUGGUGUGUAAACUGCUUUUGUACGGGAAGAAACACUCCCUCGUGAGGGAGCUUGACGGUACCGUAAGAAUAAGGAUCGGCUAACUCCGUGCCAGCAGCCGCGGUAAUACGGAGGAUCCAAGCGUUAUCCGGAAUCAUUGGGUUUAAAGGGUCCGUAGGCGGUUUAAUAAGUCAGGGGUGAAAGCCCAUCGCUCAACGAUGGAACGGCCAUUGAUACUGUUAGACUUGAAUUACAAGGAAGUAACUAGAAUAUGUAGUGUAGCGGUGAAAUGCUUAGAUAUUACAUGGAAUACCAAUUGCGAAGGCAGGUUACUACUUGUGGAUUGACGCUGAUGGACGAAAGCGUGGGGAGCGAACAGGAUUAGAAACCCUUGUAGUCC